CACGUAUUUAGCCGGGGCUUCCUCCUAUGAUACCGUCAUUAUCUUCUCAUAGGACAGAGCUUUACGAUUCGAAAACCUUCUUCGCUCACGCGGCGUCGCUGCAUCAGGGUUUCCCCCAUUGUGCAAUAUUCCCCACUGCUGCCUCCCGUAGGAGUUUGGACCGUGUCUCAGUUCCAAUGUGGCCGUUCAUCCUCUCAGACCGGCUACUGAUCGUCGCCUUGGUAGGCCUUUACCCUUCCAACUAGCUAAUCAGACGCGAGCCCAUCUUACACCGAUAAAUCUUUGACCCCUUUACCAUGCGGUUCUGUGGUCUCAUGCGGUAUUAAUCGUCGUUUCCAACGGCUAUCCCCCUGUGUAAGGUAGGUUGCUCACGUGUUACUCACCCGUUCGCCACUUUCAUUCUAUUUCCUAUCCCGAAGGCUAUUCCAUAAAAUCACGUUCGACUUGCAUGUGUUAAGCACGCCGCCAGCGUUCGUCCUGAGCCAGGAUCAAACUCU
rnacentral:rRNA from 1 species